rnacentral:rRNA from 1 species
AUACGGGAGGCAGCAGUUUCGAAUCAUUCACAAUGGGCGAAAGCCUGAUGGUGCGACGCCGCGUGAGGGAUGAAGGCCUUCGGGUUGUAAACCUCUGUCACCGGGGAAGAAACGCUUCAAGUUAAUAGCUUGAAGCCUGACUUAACCCGGAGAGGAAGCAGUGGCUAACUCUGUGCCAGCAGCCGCGGUAAUACAGAGACUGCAAGCGUUAUUCGGAUUCACUGGGCGUAAAGGGUGCGCAGGCGGCCAAGUGUGUGAAGUGUGAAAGCCCGGGGCUUAACCCCGGAAUUGCACCUCAAACUACUUGGCUAGAGCAUUGGAGAGGGUAGCAGAAUUCACGGUGUAGCAGUGAAAUGCGUAGAUAUCGUGAGGAAUACCAGAGGCGAAGGCGGCUACCUGGACAAUUGCUGACGCUCAGGCACGAAAGCGUGGGGAGCAAAAGGGAUUAGAUACCCCCGUAGUCCC